rnacentral:ncRNA from 1 species
CAAAGGCAUGGUCCCGACCUUAUUAUCAGCUCUAACUCAACUUACACAUGCAAGUCUCCGCAACCCAGUGAAUAUGCCCUCAAUCCCCCCACCCGGGGACGAGGAGCGGGCAUCAGCCACAAACAUUAGCCCAAGACGCCUAGCCAAGCCACACCCCCAAGGGAAUUCAGCAGUGAUAAACAUUAAGCCAUAAGUGAAAACUUGACUCAGUUAGUGUUAAGAGGGCCGGGUAAAACUCGUGCCAGCCACCGCGGUUAGACGAGAGGCCCUAGUUGAUAUUACAACGGCGUAAAGGGUGGUUAAGGAUAAACAAAAAUAAAGUCAAAUGGCCCCUUGGCCGUCAUACGCUUCUAGGAGUCCGAAGCCCUAAUACGAAAGUAACUUUAAUAAACCCACCUGACCCCACGAAAGCUGAGAAACAAACUGGGAUUAGAUACCCCACUAUGCUCAGCCGUAAACUCAGACAUCCAGCUACUAUUAGAUGUCCGCCAGGGUACUACGAGCAUUAGCUUAAAACCCAAAGGACCUGACGGUGUCUCAGACCCCCCUAGAGGAGCCUGUUCUAGAACCGAUAACCCCCGUUCAACCUCACCACUUCUAGCCACCCCAGCCUAUAUACCGCCGUCGUCAGCUUACCCUGUGAAGGUAAUAAAAGUAAGCAAAAUGGGCACAACCCAAAACGUCAGGUCGAGGUGUAGCGCAUGAAGUGGGAAGAAAUGGGCUACAUUUUCUAAUAUAGAAUAUUACGAACAUGCACCAUGAAACAAUGCUUGAAGGAGGAUUUAGUAGUAAAAGGGAAGUAGAGUGUCCCUUUGAACCCGGCUCUGAGACGCGUACACACCGCCCGUCACUCUCCCCUGUCAAAACGCACCAAAAAUACAUAAUACAACAGCACUGACAAGGGGAGGCAAGUCGUAACACGGUAAGUGUACCGGAAGGUGCACUUGGAUCAAACC